rnacentral:rRNA from 1 species
CCUACGGGAGGCUGCAGUGGGGAAUAUUGGACAAUGGGGGCAACCCUGAUCCAGCCAUGCCGCGUGUGUGAAGAAGGCCCUCGGGUUGUAAAGCACUUUCAGUGAGGAAGAACGCCUGGUGGUUAAUACCCAUCAGGAAAGACAUCACUCACAGAAGAAGCACCGGCUAACUCCGUGCCAGCAGCCGCGGUAAUACGGAGGGUGCGAGCGUUAAUCGGAAUUACUGGGCGUAAAGCGCGCGUAGGUGGCUUGAUAAGCCGGUUGUGAAAGCCCCGGGCUCAACCUGGGAACGGCAUCCGGAACUGGCAAGCUAGAGUGCAGGAGAGGAAGGUAGAAUUCCCGGUGUAGCGGUGAAAUGCGUAGAGAUCGGGAGGAAUACCAGUGGCGAAGGCGGCCUUCUGGACUGACACUGACACUGAGGUGCGAAAGCGUGGGUAGCAAACAGGAUUAGAUACCCCAGUAGUC